GACAGAGGGUGCAAACGUUGCUCGGAAUUACUGGGCGUAAAGAGCGUGUAGGCGGCCAGGUAGGUCCGGUGUGAAAACUCGAGGCUUAACCUCGAGAUGUCAUCGGAAACCAUCUGGCUAGAGUCCGGAAGAGGAAAGUGGAAUUCCUGGUGUAGCGGUGAAAUGCGCAGAUAUCAGGAAGAACACCAAUGGCGGAAAGCAGCUUUCUGGGGACGGUACUGACGCUGAGACGCGAAAGCGUGGGGAGCGAACAGG
rnacentral:rRNA from 1 species